AAGUCGUAACAAGGUUUCCGUAGGUGAACCUGCGGAAGGAUCAUCAUCGAAUUCAUACCCUCCCCCCUCACCGGGGGGUGGGCUCAUGAUAAACCCUUCUGUGCACUGUAAACCGUUCACUUUGGCAGGCUUUUUGGUCGCGAGUGUUCCGCUCGCCCCAACCUCGCGUGCCCCUCCCAAGGGGGACGCGAGGCGGCCUGCCGGAGUUCUCUUCUGAAAAACUCGUUUGAGAACACGUCUGAAAAUUUCCUUUGAGAAAUCAAAGAACCGAAAACAACUUUCAACAACGGAUCUCUUGGCUCUC
rnacentral:misc_RNA from 1 species